UGAAAAGUCAUGAAAUAGAGUGGAAGUUGUUCAAAUUUAUCUGCCAAGUGCUCAUAGUGCUCGAGAUUCUUCUCCAGUGGUAUUCUGUGACAUACUCGUCUUCAUGGUACUGAAGAAAGUUGCAAAAUACAAGGAUAAAACUUUAAACUGUUCAAAGAAACCUGCUCCGUGUGGCUCAACUCAGCAUAUACAUCCUGUCGAAGAUAGCUAAAUGUAGUGAUCGCCUUGUGAGUGAUGGGUUC
rnacentral:lncRNA from 1 species